rnacentral:rRNA from 1 species
ACAGCAGUAGCCGCGGGAAUACGUAGGGUGCAAGCGUUAAUCGGAAUUACUGGGCGUAAAGCGUGCGCAGGCGGUUUGUUAAGACAGAUGUGAAAUCCCCGGGCUCAACCUGGGAACUGCAUUUGUGACUGGCAAGCUAGAGUAUGGCAGAGGGGGGUGGAAUUCCGCGUGUAGCAGUGAAAUGCGUAGAUAUGCGGAGGAACACCGAUGGCGAAGGCAGCCCCCUGGGCCAAUACUGACGCUCAUGCACGAAAGCGUGGGGAGCAAACAGGAUUAGAGACCCGCGUAGUCCCUGUCUCUUAUAC